CCCAGGUGAGUCCCAGGUGAGAUCCCAGGUGAGCCAGGGGUCCCAUUCUCCCCCAGGUGAGCCCCAGGUAAGAUCCAGGUGAGCCCCAGGUAAGAUCCAGGUGAGAUCCCAGGUGAGCCUCCAGGAGAUCCCGGGAGUCCCAUUUUCCCCCAGGCCAGGCUCUGGCUCAGCCCUCAGGUGACCUCAGGUGAUCCUGGGGAUCCCACCCCCCUCCCCGGGCCGGGGUCUGGGACACAGGUGAGAUCCCAGGUGAGAUCCCAGGUGCCCCCCAGGUGAGUUCCAGGUGCCCCCAGGUGAGUUCCAGGUGAGAUCCCAGGUGAGUUCCCAGGAGAGUUCCCAAGUGAGAUCCCAGGUGAGUUCCAGGUGCCCCCAGGUGAGUUCCCAGGUGAGUUCCCAGGUGAUUCCAGGUGCCCCCAGGUGAGUUCCCAGGUGCCCCCAGGUGAGUUCCAGGUAAGUUCCCAGGUGAGUUCCCAGGUGCCCCCAGGUGAGUUCCAGGUAAGUUCCCAGGUGCCCCCCAGGUGAGUUCCCAGGUGAGUUCCAGGUGAGUUCCAGGUGCCCCCAGGUGCCCUCAGGUGAGUUCCAGGU